rnacentral:misc_RNA from 1 species
UCUUCUAUUGUGUUUAGGCACAAGGUAAUGUAGGCUUACUAAUUGACAGUAACAUUUCCUAAUGCAGUCUUUUGUUUCCAAAUUAUGUACUAAUUUAGUUUAGUUGAUUUUGGAACACGUGCAAAUGUUCCUCUGAAAAGCACACUAGGUUGCUGUUCAGUUCUCAUCAUGAAUCUGUAGAAACAUGCAAGUCGGGUCCUCAUUCCUCAACCUCCAAUCAUAUUUGGCUGUCCUGCAACCAACCUAACAAACUUCUCUCUCUCUCAAUCAAUGAAAUUUAUUUGAAAUAUGAAAUGUGGGCACAUAAACAAUAGAAGAAAAAAUAGCAAAAUGAGAGAGCCUAUGAGAGGCCCACUUGCAUUGUUUAACGAGUCUCUGAAACUCCUGUGUGCUGUGUAAACUUCAAUUCAAUCCAAUAAGCAGUGCAAACUACCUUUGUUUGCCAGAAGAUCUUUAGAGAUCGGAGAACCCAAGUCUACUUUACUUACAGCACUAGGCAGCAAGGGCAACUGCACAACCAUUGUUACUUCCAACGUGGUUAUGAGAGGGGAGGGAUGUGUCAAGCUUCAAAUGUAUUUGAGCCUUUUGUUGGUGAGACUACCAUCUAUAAUAUUAAAUAAAAUAAAAAAACAAGGUUGAAAUGCACGAGCCAUGUGUGGGAGGGAAAAAAGGAACAUGAUCCAGACAUCCAGUUAACAUUCCAUACUCUUUGAGCAGUCAAUUUUGAUUCUGGCUUGCUGCCAGUGAGUUUUAUGUAAAACUUAAAUCUGUUACCAAUACAUAUGCUUGUUGCUUAGCCCUUUCUCCAAUUGAACUGCUGAGUCUGAUUCCUUGUUUGUUUUUAUAUUGUACAUUCUUCUCUGCUGCAUGUUUCCUUUGAAUGCCAUGACAUGACUGCCUUGUGCAGUUUGCAGAUCACUCCUGCAUG